AAUGGGCGGAAGCCUGACGCAGCCAUGCCGCGUGUGUGAAGAAGGCCUUCGGGUUGUAAAGCACUUUCAAUUGGGAGGAAAGGUUCACGGCUAAUACCCGUGAGCUGUGACGUUACCUUUAGAAGAAGCACCGGCUAACUCCGUGCCAGCAGCCGCGGUAAUACGGAGGGUGCGAGCGUUAAUCGGAAUUACUGGGCGUAAAGCGCGCGUAGGUGGUCUGUUAAGUCGGAUGUGAAAGCCCCGGGCUCAACCUGGGAACUGCAUCCGAUACUGGCAGACUAGAGUGCGGGAGAGGGAGGUAGAAUUCCACGUGUAGCGGUGAAAUGCGUAGAUAUGUGGAGGAAUACCAGUGGCGAAGGCGGCCUCCUGGCUCGACACUGACACUGAGGUGCGAAAGCGUGGGGAGCAAACAGGAUU
rnacentral:rRNA from 1 species